rnacentral:rRNA from 1 species
UACGUAGGUGUCAAGCGUUGUCCGGAUUUAUUGGGCGUAAAGCGCCCGCAGGCGGCUUGCCAAGUUCGAUGUGAAAUCUCCCGGCUCAACUGGGAGGGUGCAUCGAAAACUGGCAGGCUUGAGGCAGGGAGAGGGAUGUGGAAUUCCAGGUGUAGUGGUGAAAUGCGUAGAUAUCGGGAGGAACACCAGUGGCGGAAGGCGACUACCUGGCCUGUUCUUGACGCUGAGGCGCGAAAGCUGGGGAGCAAACGGG